GGCUCAGGACGAACGCUGGCGGCGUGCCUAACACAUGCAAGUCGAACGGGGAUUUGUUUCGGCAGAAUCCUAGUGGCGAACGGGUGAGUAACGCGUAGGCAACCUGCCCUCCGGCCGGGGGACAACACUCCGAAAGGGGUGCUAAUACCGGAUACGAAGUCUGUGCCGCAUGGUACGGAUUUGAAAGAUGGCCUCUAUUUAUAAGCUAUCGCCGGGGGAUGGGCCUGCGUCCGAUUAGCUGGUUGGUGGGGUAACGGCCUACCAAGGCGACGAUCGGUAGCCGGUCUGAGAGGAUGAACGGCCACAUUGGGACUGAGACACGGCCCAGACUCCUACGGGAGGCAGCAGUGGGGAAUCUUCCGCAAUGGGCGCAAGCCUGACGCAGCAACGCCGCGUGAGUGAGGAAGGCCUUCGGGUUGUAAAGCUCUGUCAUUUUGGACGAAACCUAAUUGUUAAAUAGGCAAUUAGAUGACGGUACAGAAGAAGGAAGCCCCGGCUAACUACGUGCCAGCCGCAGC
rnacentral:rRNA from 1 species